GAUGAAGAACGCAGCGAAAUGCGAUAAGUAAUGUGAAUUGCAGAAUUCAGUGAAUCAUCGAAUCUUUGAACGCACAUUGCGCCCGCCAGUAUUCUGGCGGGCAUGACUGUUCGAGCGUCAUUUCAACCAUCAAGCCCUGCUUGCGUUGGGGUCCUGCGGCUGCCCGCAGGCCCUGAAAACCAGUGGCGGGCUCGCUAGUCACACCGAGCGCAGUAAUACAUCUCGCUUUGGGCGUGCGGCGGGUUCUUGCCGUUAAACACCCCCUUUUUACCAAGGUUGACCUCGGAUCAGGUAGGAAUACCCGCUGAACUUAAGCAUAUCAAUAAGCGGAGGA
rnacentral:misc_RNA from 1 species